rnacentral:rRNA from 1 species
GAACGAGAAAGGGGCUUCGGCCCUGAGUACAGUGGCGCACGGGUGAGUAACACGUGACUAACCUACCCUUGAGUGGGGAAUAACUUCGAGAAAUCGAGGCUAAUUCCGCAUAAUACCUACGGGUCAAAGGAGCAAUUCGCUUAAGGAGGGGGUCGCGGCAGAUUAGCUAGUUGGCGGGGUAAUGGCCCACCAAGGCAGUGAUCUGUAUCCGGCCUGAAAGGGCGCACGGACACACUGGAACUGAAACACGGUCCAGACUCCUACGGGAGGCAGCAGUGGGGAAUUUUGCGCAAUGGGGGAAACCCUGACGCAGCAACGCCGCGUGGAGGAUGAAGUCUCUUGGGACGUAAACUCCUUUCGAUCGGGACGAUAAUGACGGUACCGAUAGAAGAAGCCCCGGCUAACUUCGUGC